rnacentral:rRNA from 1 species
GGGUUGUGAGGUUAAGCGACUAAGCGUACACGGUGGAUGCCCUGGCAGUCAGAGGCGAUGAAGGACGUGCUAAUCUGCGAAAAGCGCCGGCGAGGUGAUAUGAACCUUUGACCCGGCGAUGUCCGAAUGGGGAAACCCAGUGUGAUUCGUCACACUAUCGUUAACUGAAUACAUAGGUUAACGAGGCGAACCGGGGGAACUGAAACAUCUAAGUACCCCGAGGAAAAGAAAUCAACCGAGAUUCCCCCAGUAGCGGCGAGCGAACGGGGAGCAGCCCAGAGUCUGAAUCAGCUUGUGUGUUAGUGGAAGCGUCUGGAAAGUCGCACGGUACAGGGUGACAGUCCCGUACACGAAAGCACACAGGCUGUGAACUCGAAGAGUAGGGCGGGACACGUGGUAUCCUGUCUGAAUAUGGGGGGACCAUCCUCCAAGGCUAAAUACUCCUGACUGACCGAUAGUGAACCAGUACCGUGAGGGAAAGGCGAAAAGAACCCCGGCGAGGGGAGUGAAAAAGAACCUGAAACCGUGUACGUACAAGCAGUGGGAGCCUCUUUUAUGGGGUGACUGCGUACCUUUUGUAUAAUGGGUCAGCGACUUAUAUUCUGUAGCAAGGUUAACCGUAUAGGGGAGCCGAAGGGAAACCGAGUCUUAACUGGGCGUUAAGUUGCAGGGUAUAGACCCGAAACCCGGUGAUCUAGCCAUGGGCAGGUUGAAGGUUGGGUAACACUAACUGGAGGACCGAACCGACUAAUGUUGAAAAAUUAGCGGAUGACUUGUGGCUGGGGGUGAAAGGCCAAUCAAACCGGGAGAUAGCUGGUUCUCCCCGAAAGCUAUUUAGGUAGCGCCUCGUGAACUCAUCUUCGGGGGUAGAGCACUGUUUCGGCUAGGGGGCCAUCCCGGCUUACCAACCCGAUGCAAACUACGAAUACCGAAGAAUGUUAUCACGGGAGACACACGGCGGGUGCUAACGUCCGUCGUGAAGAGGGAAACAACCCAGACCGCCAGCUAAGGUCCCAAAGUCAUGGUUAAGUGGGAAACGAUGUGGGAAGGCACAGACAGCCAGGAUGUUGGCUUAGAAGCAGCCAUCAUUUAAAGAAAGCGUAAUAGCUCACUGGUCGAGUCGGCCUGCGCGGAAGAUGUAACGGGGCUAAACCAUGCACCGAAGCUGCGGCAGCGACGCUUAUGCGUUGUUGGGUAGGGGAGCGUUCUGUAAGCCGUUGAAGGUGUCCUGUGAGGGGUGCUGGAGGUAUCAGAAGUGCGAAUGCUGACAUAAGUAACGAUAAAGCGGGUGAAAAGCCCGCUCGCCGGAAGACCAAGGGUUCCUGUCCAACGUUAAUCGGGGCAGGGUGAGUCGACCCCUAAGGCGAGGCCGAAAGGCGUAGUCGAUGGGAAACAGGUUAAUAUUCCUGUACUUGGUGUUACUGCGAAGGGGGGACGGAGAAGGCUAUGUUAGCCGGGCGACGGUUGUCCCGGUUUAAGCAUGUAGGCGGAGGUUCCAGGUAAAUCCGGUUCCUUGUUAACGCUGAGGUGUGAUGACGAGGCACUACGGUGCUGAAGUAACAAAUGCCCUGCUUCCAGGAAAAGCCUCUAAGCAUCAGGUAACAUCAAAUCGUACCCCAAACCGACACAGGUGGUCAGGUAGAGAAUACCAAGGCGCUUGAGAGAACUCGGGUGAAGGAACUAGGCAAAAUGGUGCCGUAACUUCGGGAGAAGGCACGCUGAUAUGUAGGUGAAGCCCCUGCGGGUGGAGCUGAAAUCAGUCGAAGAUACCAGCUGGCUGCAACUGUUUAUUAAAAACACAGCACUGUGCAAACACGAAAGUGGACGUAUACGGUGUGACGCCUGCCCGGUGCCGGAAGGUUAAUUGAUGGGGUUAGCGGCAACGCGAAGCUCUUGAUCGAAGCCCCGGUAAACGGCGGCCGUAACUAUAACGGUCCUAAGGUAGCGAAAUUCCUUGUCGGGUAAGUUCCGACCUGCACGAAUGGCGUAAUGAUGGCCAGGCUGUCUCCACCCGAGACUCAGUGAAAUUGAACUCGCUGUGAAGAUGCAGUGUACCCGCGGCAAGACGGAAAGACCCCGUGAACCUUUACUAUAGCUUGACACUGAACACUGGUCCUUGAUGUGUAGGAUAGGUGGGAGGCUUUGAAGCGUGGACGCCAGUCUGCGUGGAGCCAACCUUGAAAUACCACCCUUUAAUGGCUGGUGUUCUAACGUAGACCCGUAAUCCGGGUUGCGGACAGUGUCUGGUGGGUAGUUUGACUGGGGCGGUCUCCUCCCAAAGAGUAACGGAGGAGCACGAAGGUUAGCUAAUCCUGGUCGGACAUCAGGAGGUUAGUGCAAUGGCAUAAGCUAGCUUGACUGCGAGAGUGACGGCUCGAGCAGGUGCGAAAGCAGGUCAUAGUGAUCCGGUGGUUCUGAAUGGAAGGGCCAUCGCUCAACGGAUAAAAGGUACUCCGGGGAUAACAGGCUGAUACCGCCCAAGAGUUCAUAUCGACGGCGGUGUUUGGCACCUCGAUGUCGGCUCAUCACAUCCUGGGGCUGAAGUAGGUCCCAAGGGUAUGGCUGUUCGCCAUUUAAAGUGGUACGCGAGCUGGGUUUAGAACGUCGUGAGACAGUUCGGUCCCUAUCUGCCGUGGGCGCUGGAGAAUUGAGGGGGGCUGCUCCUAGUACGAGAGGACCGGAGUGGACGCAUCACUGGUGUUCGGGUUGUCAUGCCAAUGGCACUGCCCGGUAGCUAAAUGCGGAAGAGAUAAGUGCUGAAAGCAUCUAAGCACGAAACUUGCCCCGAGAUGAGUUCUCCCUGAGACUUUAAGUCUCCUGAAGGAACGUUGAAGACUACGACGUUGAUAGGUCGGGUGUGUAAGCGCAGCGAUGCGUUGAGCUAACCGAUACUAAUGAACCGUGAGGCUUAACCUUACAACGCCGAAGGUGUUU